ACUAGGUUUCUUCCAUCUCCUUUCUACCGCUAGGUUUCUUCCAUCUCCUUUCCUUUCCUCUAUCACCGCUAGGUUUCCUCUCUCCCACCCCUUCUUUCCUUUCGUAUUUGCAGCGCACCAGGUUCUUCCCUCUUCGCAGUAAGCAAGGAGUUCAAAGGUAACCCUAUAUCUUAUUUCUUCCCUCUCCGCAGCACCGUGUGUAACCUCGCCAGGCGAUGAGAGGAUGCUUUAGGUGUGGCCACACUCAAGGGGGUCGCAGCCUCUCCAGACCACUAGUUUACUAGCGGUCGAUUUGCGAAUGGAUGCACGCGAGGGGGUCGAUGCCUCACGAGGCAGCCCGUUCACAAACGGUUGCACACGAGGGGGUCUAAGCAGUGGCCUGUAGCGAGGCAACGACAUCGUUAUCUGCUUCUGAAACUCUCGUGUUUUUCCAUCUCCAUAUACUGACUUCCACAUCCAAGUGAAUGUGCCCUUUACUAUGUCAACCGAGAUAUACUUUUCUAAUAUCACAAGGAGAGUGAGAUAUGUUUAUAGGUUUGUCUCUCCAUUGUGGAAUUCAAUGAUAUUUUUUCUCCUCAUAGAGAGAAGACUACACUUGAGCAUGAGCCUAGCUUACUGGCAAACUGCUGAAGGAGGCAGAUAAAGAAAUUGGUCAUCAGAAAACAAUUACCUCCCUAUCAAAAUCUGCAGAUGGC